ensembl:lncRNA
ACAAGUCACUUUAGUCUUUUUACAUUUAUGCGUUUAGACGCUUUUAUCUAAAGUGACUUACAGUGCAUUCAGGCUAACAUUUUUUUUAACGGUACGUGUGUUCCCUGGGAAUCAAACCCAUGACCUUUUGCACAGCUAACACAAUGCUCUACCACUGAGCCACAGGCUUUAGGUUUAGGUUUUAUUCUAUAGGUUUGUUCACUUCACAUAGAGAAAGAAUCUGUGGGACAGAUCCCAGAGACGAAUGUGUGGGACGUGUGCAUGACUUCAGUCCCGUCUGAUUGGUGUCUCGAGGGCUCCAUAAAAGGAGAGAGUAUUCAGAGCCAGAGAGGCUCCUGAGAGACAGAAGCACCACAGCGUCACACAGAAGAGCUGGAGAACCAUCACAAUGACACACACAACCUGAAAUGAAGACAUGAGCGCUUUGGAAGAACUUCUGUGGAUGUAGUCUGGAGAGUUUCUGCCGUUGCAAAACAGAGACGUGUGAGUUUUCUGGGCCGGACCUCGAACCCCACAGUGUUUUAUCGCAGGACUAAUACAAUAGCAUGCUUUAGAUGCAUCAGUAACUCUAAUAUAAUGUAUUGUCUGAUCUAUCUUCUCUUUAGAUGGUUUGUGUUUCUCGUGUUGGAUCAGGCUGAUGUUGAAGAUUUCAAGUGCAUCGUGUCGACUCUGGAGAACCGGCGCAUUCUGAGCGAGCACAGCAGCCUGCAGAACAUGCUCUCUCUGAAUCAUGCUGUCGAGGAGGAAACAGGACAGGAAGUGAAUCAGGAAGCAGACCUGCUGGCCCUCAAGUUUCUGUACAGUAACACAGACUCUACAGAGCCUGUUAGCAGCUCUUCUUCUGGCACGACUCUGCUCCCGGAGCAUCUCUCGCCGUCAUUAGCCGCUAAACCCCUCAGGUCCCCUCAGGGCCCCGGCACUAUGGAGCAGAUGAGAGCAGAGCUCCGAGAGCUACGAGAUGAACUGGACACUCUGAAGACUCAGCACAAAAAAGAGAUCAAACUGCUCAUGAACGAACUGGAUGAAGAAAAGAAGAUGCGUCUGUCACUGCAAGUAAGCACAAGGACGAGUCAAGAGCCUCUAGAGUAGAUGUUAAACAGUUUCAUUCAUCAGCAGUGCUGGGGAAAGUUACUUUUAAUUGUUACUCCAUAGAAAAGUAACUAAUUUUAUGGAAAGUAAUGCAUUAUGUUACUUUUUGUCACCGGGGCUGGGCUUGC